GAGAUAUGGGGCAACAUCAAAUGGCCAACUCGUCUUUGGAAGAUUCAAUACUCCAGAAAAUGGAGAAAACUUGUUGGGAAGUGUUGAAUUUGGUUCCUCUGAGGUAUAUGAAAAUGGAGAAUUGGCUAAAAGCAGAUUUUGGAUUGUUCCUGAUGCACGAUACCUGAUGGUUGCCAGUAACAUUGAGGUUAGUUCGUUUCUGUUCUUUUUACAAAAAAAUUGCAAAAGAAGAGUUGAGAAUCUCAACCAUGGUUCGGCUUUCUGGUUGCAGUUCGCAGAGACAUCAGAGAACUGUCUACACCCAAGAAAAUUAGGUUGCCUUGCUGCAAAGAACAAGGUUGUGACUGGACUGAGGGCUUCAAGUUCUGAUGUCUACGUUCAGAACAACGCAUAUAGAGAGUUCUUAUGGCACACUUUCCAUGUCUCAACCGUAGACACCACCAGCCACGCUGUCGCAUUGGUACGUAAUUAAUUAGUAAUCACCAUAAUUUUGUGUAUAAAAACCAUUUGUUUUGUAUAAUCAAGUUGAGCUUAAUUGGGUUAUUAUGAUAUAUUUAUAGGGAGCUAUGUCGAGCAACUUGAGGUUCAUAUCGUUCCGGGGAGUGUCGAACACCGCAGGAGCUUCAGAAGAGAGCAACAGUGCAUUGGCAAACGCAAAUCUUGUGAAAGCAGUUUUCCGCUUCAUCUAUCUGGAUAACAAGCUCCGUUAUGAUGAAGAGUGAAAGACUCUGUGCAUGUUUGUGUCUAAUUAACUAGUACUAAUGUAUUAUAUCCUUGAGUUGCUGUUAAUGAGGAAGCCGGAAUGUAUGUACUCAAAAUGGAGUGUCUGUACUUUAAUGCUCCUUUACCAUAAAUAAAUUUGAGUCUUUUAUGUACUUAAUGCUCCUUCGGCAUAAAUAAAAUGAGUCUUUUAUCUAUUUUUAUUGUAUCUGUUUCGUAAUAUUUAUCAUAUUUUAUAUUUUUUAAAAAAAUUAUUAAAUUUAUUUAAAUUCUCUAAAAAAAACCAUUGAAUUUUUAAAAUAAUAAUUAUUGAUAAUAUAAAAAGAGUAAAUAUGAAGAACAAUGAUUUAUUAUUUUUUAAAAUGAUAAAUAUAAUAAAUAUUUUACAAUAAAUUAUUUUUUUAAAUGUAAUAAAUAUUGUGGAGGGAAGGUAAUAAUAAAUUUGUAUCAUAAAAUUGAAAAUUGGUGGAAGUGGAAUUAUGCAUGCCUUCAAUUAAGUGUAAAAGCUGCCUCAGAUGUUUUUUUUUUCCUUUUUUUUAGAAUAAUCUCAUAUGGUAAAAUUGAAAAUAUGGUAAAAGUAAAAAGUUUGAAAGCAAAAUGAUAUGGAAAAAAAAAAAAGUAAAGAAAAAGAUUUUUAAAUUUUCCUGGGCCCACAUAAUGGCAAUCUCUUCAAAUCGGGAGGAAUAUGACUUGAAAAUGAUGAAAGUUUCAUAUUGAUACAAAAUUAUGAUGUACCUUUUCUUAUUAUAUGUCUAUAAAUAUAUAACAAUAACUUUAUAUAUAAUUUAAACAUACUUGCAUAUAUUCUUUCCAUCCAAAAAGAAAAAAUAAAAAAGAAUUAAUUUCUUAUCAUUAUCUUCUUUUUUAUCUAAUCCAAAUAUGAUGUCUCAUUAUAUCAUCGAAUUAUUUCAGUUGCAAAUAAUAUGUAUACUUAAAUUGAAGCAGCAUGAUUUUAACUUAAAAACAACUCGUUAGAUUUAUCGAGCAAUUUUUUUAUAGAGUCGAAUUUCAAACGGUUUGACUAAUUUAUAGAGCCAUAUUUUUUUUAAUUGCUUGAAGAACCGUGCAUAAAUUCGGUGCAAAAUUAAUUUUUAUUUAUUUAUUUUUAAAUUCAUUUAGUUGAAAACUCAUAUUAGAAUUGUAAUCGAUUUUCAUUUUAUAUAUUUUAAACUUUAGUUUUCAAAAAUUGCAUUAUUUUUCUGUAAACCUCUCUGAAAUCUCAUUUAUAUUAAAAUUUUGGUUCUUAAUUUUUUUUUUUAAAAAAAAGAAACAGACCUAAAAUAUGUAAAAUAAAUUUAUGAGAAAAUUUAUGUAUAAUACCUUUAUCAACGGGGUCUUAUCUGUAUUACAUUUCCGACAAGCAGCCGAUAAUGCUAUCAAAAUGUCAAUCAGUCUUUAUGAUUUUUUUUUUUUUUAAUAAAAUGUUGUCACCUCGUACGGAAAAGAUUUUCCAAAGACGUCUCAUAUCAUUCACUACCGUUUUGUUGUUUCUGCAAAUAAAGAAAUUAGUGGUCAUUUAAAUUUUGUUAUUUUAUUAAUAAUAAUAAAAAUACCUUUUCAUAUUUUUUGCACAUAUCAAUUAAGAGAUGAUGGGAGAUGAUUUUAAUAUAUUGCAAGAUUAUUCUUGUACUUUAAAUUUCGAGUAAAUAUUUUAAAUUUUAAAUAUUUUAUUUGAUCGAGUAUUACAAAUUCUUUAUAAAUUUAUAAGUCUUGGUAUAAUUAUUUAUAUUAAAUUUCUUAACAUAUUGCAUAUACAUACAUAUCUUUGAUAUAUUUAUUAGUAUAUCAACAUUAAUUACUGUUAAAAGAAUGUAAAUUAAUUAAAAAAAUAUCCUAUAAUUAGAAAUAAAGAAAUAGUACGAUUUCUUUAUGUGGCGGAAGGCCGCGGGAAAUGAUUUUGCUCUUUUUUUUUUUUUUUUUUUUGAGAAGAUAAUGAUUCACAUUUGCAUAAAACUGAUCGGAUAGGUUAAAGUUCUGACAAGUUGGACAAAAACGACACCGCAAGGACAAUAAUUGUGAAACCCACUGCCUUAUCUUUUUUUACUAAUAAAAAAGUAUAUGGCCCAAUCCAAUUUCGAUUCGCCACAUUUUAUACAUCAUGUACGUCCAACAUAUUUUUCCUUCUCACCAAAUUAUUUGGUUUCAUUAAAACCUAUCUUUAAAACUACUACAUUCUCAAGUUUUUCACCCUACCUUCAUUUUUUUUACUGAAGUAUUCACUCAACUGAGGAAUGUUUGAACUUUAAGAAGCCAAGUGUUUAAUUGAUAUUAAAAUUUUAUACAAGAUUUUAACAAACAGUUAUAUCAAUAUAAAAUUUUAUUUAAAUUUCAAUAUAAAAUUUUAUGAAUUGUAUUUUUAUUUAAAUUUUAUUUAUAAAAUUAAGAGUUUGAAAAUUUAGAAUUGCUACUUGAGAGAACUUUAUCUUAAUAUUAUCACAUCCAUACACCUUGGAUUUAAAGACAUGAAUGAAAAAAAAAAAAUUUCUUUGAAACUUUAUAAUAAUUUUUUCCAAAUAUAGAAAUGUAAUUUCAAUAAAAGCUUGUAGAAUUCAUAAUAAUUUCCCAAAAAAAUUAUAGAAAAACUUAAUUGUUAAUCUUAACCACAGUUUGAAGCUAUUCAAGUUGUUAAAAAUCUCACAUCAACGGUAUAUAUGUGGCACUUUUUAAGUAGUUUUUAGUCAAAACGAUAAGUACUAUUUUUUAUAUUGCUCGGUUACAUAAUGUUUGAAUUAACUUUUAAAAAUUAAUAAUCUUUCACAUAAAAGUUAAUAAUUUUUAGUCAAGACAAUUAAUGUUGUUGAACAGACACAUAAAAUCUACAAAGAAUAUACAAAAGUGAUAAAUUAUCUAUCUAAUUGGUUGAUAUUAAUUUUUUAAUUUUAUUACAACAUAAGUUUAAAUAAGCCCAAGUCACAUUGUUUUUACCUCAUGGGUUGUCGCCUCCGAAACGUGUUAGUCCACGGUUACUUUCAGAAGCAUUUAUAGCCGUAGGAUUAGGAUUGGUGUUCCGUUGGAAACAGGUCUGAGUUUAUUUUUGUUAAAUUUUAAUGGACGAUGCACAAAUUUGAACCGAUAAAAAGGCGGUCUACAUCCUACCCGAUAGGACAAUCACUUUGUCCUCUAUGAGAAUAAUUUCAGCCUGACAUGUGGAUAAGACUUGUUAAAUUCUAACACCACAUCAGAAUACGUUGGUCCCACCUCUGUACUAAUGUAUUAAAAGCCAACCCUGAAAAAAGACAAAAUUUAAUGCAUGUGGCCAAUAAAGCUAUUACAACGUGGUUUAUUUAGAAAUGCAAACAGCAGAGAUUUUUCUGUGGACCUUCAAACAGGUAAUGACUUCUCUCUUGGACCAAUGGUUGUUCUUUAUGCAUUUAUUGCGACUAGUCCAUCACGUGAAAAUUCAAAAAUAUGUCCAUUUCAAGACACGUGUAUGCAUGCGGCAACACGAGAUGCCCAGGAGCUAUCAGCUAAUCCAUAACUUUCCCGGUUUUGGUUCGAAGUCCCCCCCAACCCGAAUGUUAUUGGAUCCAGGUUGGUUUUGGGUUUGAUUUUAUUUUUCGUUGUUUCAAAUUUUAUUUAUUUUUUAAAAAUAAUUUAUCUUUUUUGAAAAUAUAUUUCAAGCAGCUUACUACUUCUGGCCACAAAUAUUUUUAUUCAACAACAUGAGUCGCUUUGAGAAUAUCCUGAAAUUAUUAAUAAGAUUUUUUUUUUCUUAUUUCUAUUAUUUUCUAAAGGGUAAGUUAAUCAAAUGAAUGAAUAUUUAUUUUAAUUUAAGAGAAUUAAUUAUUUUUUUAAUCAUCACUGUAUCAUAACGUUAAAUAAUUUAUGGACGGAGGGAAUAUUUGGUUGUAGAAAUGAUAAACUUGAAAUUCAAAAAAUUAUUGUUAAGAAAAAAUGUAUGAUAUGAUAAAUUGUGAUAAUGACAAAGGUCAGUGGUUGUGGAAUAGUAAGCGCUAAACGCGGUUGCCGAUAACUGACGCUGAUUGAAAUUGAUCAACAAUGGUCACUUUUCAUCAUCAACAUAUUACUAAAUCUAUGUUGAUAAGAUUAUAGUAAUUGUGUUAAUUUUUUUGUAAAAUAUUUUUUUAAAUAAAAAUUUAUUUCUUUUAAAAUAACUUAACUUUCAAUUUGAUACAAAAUAUUUUUUAUUGAUUGAUUUUUUUGUCAUAUUAAAUAUAAGAAUUAAAAAAUAAAAAAUGAGUAAAGCUACAAAUUAAAAAAAAAAAAAAACAAUAUGCCCUAUCUUGUAUUGUUUCACCUCAAUUAUUUUAUCAUUUGUUUAAUUCAACUGAUGCUCACAAAUUUGUACGAAGCCAUUAAAAUUGCAACUUUUGAAUCUCAGCUGGUCGAUGAUGAAGUCCACGCCAAUUGAAUUGAAGGAGAUAAAGACGAUGUUGGUGCUAUAAACAUUCCAGAUUGGACAUGUGAAUAUGUGACGUGGAAAAUAAGGUUGCCAAUUGCCCAUGUCAACAUGAUAGGAUGCACCGACAUGUGGCCAAAUAUAUAAUUUAAGAAUUCUUUUAAAGGAAAAUUAUAAAGCUUCCUGACUUUUGUAAAUAAUUUUGUGAUUUCUGAACUUUACUUUUUAAUUUUAUGGUCUUUUGAAUUUCAUUUUUUUACUUAUUACCAUGAUAUUAAUUUACUUUUCAAUCUACAAGUUUAAUAUUGUUAUAAAAAAUAAAAUUAAAGAAAUUAUAGGGUAAAAAAAAGUUAAAUUUAAAAAUUAUAAGAUAAUUUUCAAAAUUCUGAACAUAACAAUAUAUUUUUUUUUAAAUUAAGGAUUAACUUAUAUAACCCGUGAUCAAUUCAUUAUCUUUUUAAUAAUUUUUAAAAAUUAUUAUUCUAUUUGUUUCGGUAAAAAAACUUGAUGAAAAAUAGUUUUUAUAUGAUUUAUUUUUCAUUAUUUAGUUGUGAUAUUUUUCAAAGUCUUUAUCUCAUAAGACCAUACAAAAUAUUACAAAAAAUAGAAAUGGAGCAUAAUUUAAAAACUUUAUUAUUAAAUAUGAGAAGAAUGCAAAAAAAUAUAUAUAUAUAUAAAUUAUAAAAGACGCUGAUGAAAAUAAAGGGAUAACUAAUACAUAUUUUCUUCAAUGAUGUAAUUUCUUUAUCAUUUUCAUUUCUUUAAGCGACACAUAAUACCAUAAAUAUAAUACGUUUGUGAAUCUCAUCUCCUUGGACAAUGAUUUUUUCUUUCUUUUGAUUCCUGUUCUUUUGUUUGUUAUUAUCCAUCAAUAAUAUAUAAGUCAAAAUUCUUAUUAUACGUUGCAAAAAUUACUAAUAAAAAAAUAAAACAAUAAAAACAUAAUAUCUCAAUGACGAUUUUUCCUUCUAAUUUCAGAAUAUAUAUAUAUAUAUAUAUAUAUAUAUAUAUAUUUAAAAGGAACAAUCUAGAGUUUUUUAUUAUUAUUUUUUUUGUUCUCUUUUUAUGGGACAUAUUUGAUUUGCAUAAUAUGGUGAAACAUGGAGGACGCACACGUAAAAAACCAAGAAGUGGAUGUAAGCAUCAAUGCAGGCUCUAUUUAUUGGACGAUGUUGAUAGGUGGGUCCCAAACCUGUCAAAAGAUUGUCUUGUCUACUUUAAUUUGGAUAGUGGGACCUGCGAAUGCUAGAAAAGGACGUUCGCUUCACGCGUUUUAUUCUGCACGUUUCAAAGAGUCUCUCAUUUUUAAUUUCAAAAUACACCGCACACCGGCAGCAAUCAUGGUCCUAAGCACUACGAGAUAGAUAUUUCCUUUUUUUUUUUUUUUUUUUUUUUUAAAUUCCUCUGUCCCGAUUGAAAAAAGAUGGAGGGAUAUGCUUCUAUUUAGAAAUUUAACUAUCUUAAACGAAUAAUGUAAGGAAUAUUGGAUAUUCCGAAAGAAUAUGCUUUUACCCAUAGUUGGUUAAUUAUUUCUGUAGCUAUUAGCAAUUUUAAUAACAUUUAGCUGAUUGAUUAAUUAGUAAUUGGCUAACUAUUUGAGUAGUUUUUUUAUAAAACAUUAACAAUUAAACGUUAUAUAGGGUCUAAUAUUUUAUAAAACGUUAUUUUAAUCUAUAAAAGAUAUUUCAAACACUAAAUUACCAAACAUUAUAAAAAAUAAUUUCACUAGUUGCUAUGCUCAACUUAUUUAUAAAAAUAUUGUCGAACACAGGCUUACAAAGCCCACUUGGGCUGACAAUAUUUAAUUCUAAUUCAGUAUAUUGAAAAUACCUAUAGUUAAUAUCAAAAGGAAAAAAAAAAAAAAUUAAAUCCUUGUUUUCUCUCAUUUUUUCUCCCAAAUCCAUUGUUGACGAUAAACUUUUUUUUCCAAUUUUUUAUCGGUUUCUUUAAAAAUUUUUCAAAGAAGAGGUAUUUCUUUAGUGAAUUUCGUUAAUUUUGUGGAAAUUUUAUAUUUUAUUGUUUGAUGUUAUUUUAAUUUUUAGUUACUAUUUUUAUUGUGAGUAAAUAAAAUUAUACUGGGAAUUUAUAUUUAAUGGUCACAAUCAGUACAAUACGACUCUUAUGAUUAUUGUUUAAGGAUAAGUAAUUAUUUAAAUAGGCAUGUAUAACCAAUAACGUCUUGGAUUGGUGGCUAAGGCUGAGAUAUCCGGCAGUUAGUCUACGUUUGGAUAUAUUGGCAGAAAAUAUAGGAGGAAUAAAAAUCGAAACACUUUGGGAACGAAGAAAAUAUGAGAGGAAAAUAAAUAUUUUGCCGACAUGUCAUUUUCUCUCUAAUUUAGAAGGAAAGUUGAACGAAAAUAAUUUAAAAAAUUAUAAUUUCUUUUGCUACUUUCACUUUUUUUAUACUUAGCAUUUUAAGUCAAGUGUAUCAUGUAUCAUAACAUGUUUAUUAUUUUAAACUUUCCAGGUAGGUAUACGACAUAUUAGGCAAUUAAAAAUUUUCAAACUGAUUUUGGUCCAUUUAACAUGAACUUUUACCGAUUUUGUGGAUUCCAACUCAAAAAUUUGAACCAAUAGUUGCAAUUCAAUUUCAGUUCAUCUACAAUACAUUUUGAUUCUGAUUCAAACCAAAUCAAACUGCAUUAUUCGCGCCAGAGGAAAAUGAAGGAUGCUAAAUGUAAACUUUUAGUGUUAUGCAAACAAUUAUUUAGGGAUUUUUAUAUGAAUUUUGGAAAAAAAAAAAAGGCAUGUAUGGAUGGUGCACCUUCAAUGCAACAACAGAAAUGCAGGGAAAAUAAGUUGGAGAGCAGAGUGGGGAGGUUUUCAUACUGAAGAUCACGUGUAAAUUGGCUUUUGAGUCAUCGAAGUUAAACAAAAGUCUUCUUUUUCCAGUAAAAUAUUUACAUAAAUAAAUGCAGACCACGAUUGUCUUCUUCUUUCAAACCACAUAAUUGAGAAGGAUGAUGGACUAUACUAUCAACCAUGGGACCUCCAUAUCUUAUAAUUAUUAUAAUUAAAUUUAUUUGUAGGGUUCCACCUCAUCAUUCAUCAAUUCAAAACACGUUCUUACGGUUCCUGUUCCUGAUAAGUGAUAAGGAUCGUAUAUUUGGACCUUUAGCUUUUUUCUAUCGAUCAAAAAUCACGUGUCACCUAAAGCUCGUGACCACUCUAUUUCAGGUUGAAAAGUCUAAAAGGAUAUUUUGGUAAUUUACUUUAGUGCAUUAAUUUACUUGUGGUUAAAUUUAUUUAUGGGCAUUUAGUUAACUUUUAAAGUACGACAAAAGAUCACGUUCGUUUGUUCACGUUUUAGUGGUGCAGUCGUAAUCAUUGCCUUUGCUGUACUCUCCUCCUUAAAAAAAAAAAAUAAAAAUAAAAAUAAAAAAAUAAAUCGGAAUUGAUUUAAAGAAUAAUUAACAUAAAAAUUAAAAGCAGAAAAAAUUAAGUUUUAUGAAAAAUAUUAAGGUAUAAGCAUUAAUAUUUUGUAGAAAAAUCAUAAUCCAUAAAUUUUAAUAGUUUGUUGAAUAAAAUUAAAUUUUAUAAUCUCAGUAAACAAUCAUUAUUUUAUUUAUUAAAAUAAUAAAAAAAUUUAAAUUUUAAAAUUGAAUUUAUAAAAAUAAUUUUUAGUCAAUUUAUAUUAGAAAAUGAAAUUAAGAAAAAAAACCUAAUAAUGACUAAAUGGCGUCCUCAUUACCGCCUAAUUUUGUAAAUAAAAUUUUUAUGUCCUAAAAAAAUGAUAAUUAAUUAUUUUAAAAAAAACAUCAUUAUCUUUAUAAAGAUAAUUAAAGAAUAUUUUUAAAUUGAUAAAAUAUUUAAAAAAAUAAAUAUGAUUUUAUAUGUUGAUACUUUUGUUAAAACAUAUUAAUAACAUGUCUAGAUGCACCCCCCAAAUGCCCAAGCCCAACAUUAUCGUUCGGCCCAACUGGGUUAACCAAAUUAUUUUAUUUAUCCUCUAAAAUUUUUAGAUAUUGAUUAGGGAAGUAAUUAAAUCAUUUGAAUAAAAUACUUUUUAAAUUAACUAAAAUAUCUUUUUAUUUAAUAAUUCAAAUCUCAAUAAUUCUCCCUAUUAAUAUAUUAUUAAAUCAAAAAAGAAAAAGAGAAAUAAUAAUAUUUGAAAGAAUUAAAUAAUUUUUCAAAAGAACGACUAAAUAAAAACUAAAAAACAAUAAAUAGUGGAGGGAGGGAUAACUUAUAUUCAAUAGUAAAAUAAUUUCUCGUAAAUUUUAAAACAAGAGUGAAAUGGUUUUAAAACAAGAGGGAGGGAUAACUUAAUAUUUUAAAGGGAUGGUCUUGCUUCCAUUCGCUAUAUGCAUUUCUUUAUGAAUUAAAUCAAUUAAAAAUAAUUUUUUUUAAUUGAAAUAUAUAUAUAUAUAUAUAUAUAUAUAUUCAAUUAUUUAUUGAAGGAAAAUGGAUUAAUUAAAAAUAAUUUAUAAAAUAUUUCGAUUUUAUAAAAUAAUCCUGUUUUUAAAUCCUGACAGGAAACGUGGCACAAAUGAGAUUUUGACGCGCUUUUACGGAGGGAAGGGAUUGCAAGAGGCUGAUCUCCCUAUAAAAAACGCACCAGAGUAACACCUCAAACAUCCCAUCUAACUCUUCACUCUUAAUCUUCUUCUCCUUCUUCUACCAACACUCUCUAAUAAGGAAAAUAUCAAAUGGCUAUGGCAUCGGUGGUGGUAUUGCUUGGGCUGUUGGCAAUGGCGGUCCAACCGUCCAUACAACAGGAUAUACUAAAUCCUGUGGUUGGCUCUUCAAAGAAGAUCAAUGCAGUCUCUGCUUUUGGGCUUAUUGUGACUUCCAGCACUGCUGAGAAAGCACUUAACGACUCUGGGAUUUUCACUGUUGACUCUUAUGUUGACAUGAAAGGUAUAUUUAAUAAGUAAUUAACCUUUCUUUUAAAUAUUUAAUAAAACUCUUUAACAUAACUAAGCUCUAUAAUUAUUAUCAUAUAGGAAGGAGAUAUUUGAUGGGAACUAUCUCUGGAGCUAAUGUUGUUUACGUAAACUCUGCCAAUCGUCCAAUGGUAAGAUAUUUUUACACAUCCAUCUCCGUCCAUUAAUGGCAUUCUUAAAUUUUCUUUAGUUUCUUAAUUGACAUUUGUUAUACAUAUACAGGUAAACGUGGGGUUAACACUGCAACAAAUGGUUGAACUAUUUAAUAUUCGAGGAAUAAUUCACUUCGGCAGUGCUGGAGGAAUCAGGAAUUCCUUGACUGUUGGAACUGUGGUUGCUCCUGCUCUUAUUGGCCACACUGGAGUUUGGACUUGGAACAAACAUGGAGAAUCAAAUGGGCAACUCGUGUUUGGAAAAUUCAAUAGUCCUGAAAAUGGUGAUAAUUUGUUGGGAAGUGUUGAGUUUGGAGGUUCUGAGGUUUACAGACAAGGAAGCUUGGAGAAGAACCAAUUCUGGCUUGCCCCUAAUGCAAGAUGGUUAUGGCUUGCCUCUAAAAUUGAGGUAUAUAUGUAAUUACUAAUUAGUAUUCUAAAUUUCCCCUUUAAUGCUUAACCUUUGUGUUAAAAAUUACUUGCAAUUUGAUAAUUUGUCAUUGCAGGGUGUUGUGACUGGACUGAAGGCUGCAAGUUCUGAUAUCUACGUUAAGAACUAUGCAUACAGAGAGUUCUUAUGGUAUACAUUUAAGGCCUCAACUGUCGAUACGACUAGCU
rnacentral:lncRNA from 1 species